UCACAUGAUGCUAAUCGGUAUAGCGCCGGGUUACCGCCCGGAGAAAGCAGGUUCGACUCCUGUCGUGUGAA
rnacentral:tRNA from 1 species